rnacentral:sRNA from 1 species
AGUAAUUUUGUAAAAAAAAAAAAUUAAUAUAUGCCAACAGAUUAAAGAAAUGUCAAUGAAUGAAUAAAUUGAAUGAUCUAUGUGGUUUGUGCUAAUGUAUAGGUGAUUAGGUGAGAAUAAGUACCAAAAGGAUCAAUGCCCCUGGUUGAGUCAAAGUAGAAGGACUAUUGAGAACAAGAUGGUACAAUGAUUUUUCCAUAGUUCAAAGCUCAUUGAUUGAUUUAUCAAACUCUGUCAAUUUUUUUCUU